GAUGAACGCUGGCGGCGUGCUUAACACAUGCAAGUCGAACGGAAAGGCUCCUGCUUGCAGGGGUACUCGAGUGGCGAACGGGUGAGUAACACGUGGGUGAUCUGCCCUGCACUUCGGGAUAAGCCUGGGAAACUGGGUCUAAUACCGGAUAGGACGAUGGUUUGGAUGCCAUUGUGGAAAGUUUUUUCGGUGUGGGAUGAGCUCGCGGCCUAUCAGCUUGUUGGUGGGGUAAUGGCCUACCAAGGCGUCGACGGGUAGCCGGCCUGAGAGGGUGAACGGCCACAUUGGGACUGAGAUACGGCCCAGACUCCUACGGGAGGCAGCAGUGGGGAAUAUUGCACAAUGGGCGCAAGCCUGAUGCAGCGACGCCGCGUGGGGGAUGACGGCCUUCGGGUUGUAAACUCCUUUCGCUAGGGACGAAGCGCAAGUGACGGUACCUGGAGAAGAAGCACCGGCUAACUACGUG
rnacentral:rRNA from 1 species